UACGAAGGGGGCUAGCGUUGCUCGGAAUUACUGGGCGUAAAGCGCGUGUAGGCGGCCCUGCAAGUCGGAUGUGAAAUCCCACGGCUCAACCGUGGAAGUGCAUUCGAAACUGCAGGGCUAGAGUCCUGGAGAGGAAGGUGGAAUGCUUGGUGUAGCGGUGAAAUGCGCAGAUAUCAGGAGGAACACCGAUGGCGAAGGCAGCUCACUGGGACGGUGACUGACGCUGAGACGCGAAAGCGUGGGGAGCAAACAGG
rnacentral:rRNA from 1 species